CAGUAGCCGCGGUAAUACGGAGGGUGCAAGCGUUAAUCGGAAUUACUGGGCGUAAAGCGCACGCAGGCGGUUUGUUAAGUCAGAUGUGAAAUCCCCGAGCUUAACUUGGGAACUGCAUUAGAAACUGGCAAGCUAGAGUCUUGUAGAGGGGGGUAGGAUUCCAGGUGUAGCGGUGAAAUGCGUAGAGAUCUGGAGGAAUACCGGUGGCGAAGGCGGCCCCCUGGACAAAGACUGACGCUCAGGUGCGAAAGCGUGGGGAGCAAACAGGAUUAGAUACCCCGGUAGUCCCUGUCUCUUAUAU
rnacentral:rRNA from 1 species